CGCAGGAGGCGGGACCGCCGGCUCCCCGGCGGGGCGGGGCGGGGCGGGGCUUCGGGUCAGCUGACUCAGGCUUUGGAGACAGAACCGAGAAGCUGGAUCCGGCGGUGGCUACUGACGUGCAGCCAUGAUCUGGAAGAAACUGAGCUCUGGCGACUUCUCCACCUGCCCCAAUGGUUCCCUCCAGUGGAUAUGGGAUGUGUUUGGCGAAUGUGCCCAGGAUGGCUGGGAUGAGGCCAGCGUGGGGCUGGGCUUGAUCUCCAUUCUCUGCUUUGCUGCGGCCACCUUCCCCCAGUACAUCAAGGCCUGCAAAGCGGGCAACAUGGACCAGGCCCUGUCUCUGUGGUUCCUCCUGGGCUGGAUUGGCGGAGACUCCUGCAACCUCAUCGGCUCCUUCCUUGCUGACCAGCUGCCCCUGCAGACCUACACGGCUGUGUAUUACGUCUUGGCGGACCUGCUCAUGCUGUCGCUGUACUUCCAUUACAAGUUUAAGAAGCGCCCCUCCCUGUUGUCUGCCCCUAUCAAUUCUGUGCUCUUGUUCACCGUGGCGAUGGUGUGUAUCACGCCGCUGCUGAGCAGCGCUGGCCCUGUGGCUGCCCCGAGGGAGGUCUUCCGGGUUCGGACGCUCCUGUCUGUGGAGCCGGCCAGUAAGCCCUUCACUCGGCAGGAGAUCAUCGGCUUCGUCAUCGGCUCCAUCUCCAGCGUGCUCUACCUGCUUUCUAGGCUGCCUCAGAUCCGAACCAACUUCCUGCGGAAGUCGACCCAGGGCAUCUCCUACUUGCUGUUCGCAUUGGUGAUGCUGGGGAACACGCUGUACGGGCUUAGUGUGCUGCUCAAAAACCCUGAGGUGGGCCAGAGUGAGGGCAGCUACCUUCUGCACCACCUGCCCUGGCUUGUGGGCAGCUUGGGAGUCCUGCUGCUUGACACCAUCAUAUCCUUCAGGUUCCUGCUGUACAGGAACGCCUCCGCUGCCUCAGAGCGCCAGCCCCUCCUCCCCCGCUGAUCAGGCCCAGGCCAGGCCCAGGACGGAUGACCGGGACUUCCGGUGCCACACCCCGGAUGGGGAAGUGUGGGCAGCGUGGUGCCGCUGACCCUGGCCUGGGCCGUGGAGGAAGCUGGGGUCGGGGGGCCCAGACCUCUGAGCCCAGCCUCCACCCCCCACGCCUCCGAAACCUCCUGGGCUGACUCCCCCAGUCGCCCGGACUGACUCUUUUGGGAGCAAGACGGCCCCCAGGGCCGGCCCCCCCUCCCCAGUCCCCCAUUUGGGAUGCACCGUCCAGGAUCUGAAGCAGCUGUGCCCGGGAGCUGCGGGGAGGGGCUGCAGCUCAAUCCUCGGCGUCUCAGGAGGCAGUGCGGCUGCGCCUCGGCUCAUCUACCUCACCUGCUGCUCACCCCUGGGAGGGGCACGGCUGUGACUGGACACACCUGGGCUGCCCUGGUGGCUGCAGACGGCCUAGGAACGGUACCUCCCAGCGAAGCCUGUUUCUGCUGCUCCUUUCCCCUGGUGCUGGGGUCCAGGCGGCUCUGGGGAUCGGCAGUGGAUGGGGAGUGGGGCCAUACCUUCUGGUCCCAGGUGGGGCCUGCAGGCUCGGGAUGGGGGCGAGCUGAGCAGGAAGGGACUGUGCCUGCUGACCAGCCUCCCAGGGGCCUCCAGCCUGCUGUGUGACAGACCCCACACCUGGUGGGGGGGACACAGCAGCAAGCAGGACACUCCCCACACCUCUCGCUCUGAAAGCAGCAGAAUAGUUGAGGUUCAGGUCUUGGAUCUGCAUCUUAGCUUCUCUGUGCCUCAGUUGGCUUGUCUGGGAAAGGGGAUGACAAUACUGCCACUUCGUCCAUCGUUGUCAGACGGCAUGAUUACGGUGGUUAGCACCAAAGGCGGGCAUGCAGUAGGCUCAGUGAGGUGUGGUAUUUUUAGUUGAGGGGACAGGGACAUCCAGAUCUCCCUGGAGAUCAGGGAGACCUUCCCAGAGAAGGUGACGUGGCAGAGAAGUGGGCAGGAGGUGACCAGGGGGAAGGGUGGGAAGUUCUGCAGGCAGGAGGGAAAGGAAGCUUAAGAGCAGGUGUCAGGGGACGGGGCUCAGCCCUGAGCUGUUGUUCCUGGGCCCCAGACUCUGUUCUAAAUCCACCUUCUUGCUGGCCAUGACCCUGUGGGUGCCUGAAGACAGUGUGGCCAGGUCCCGGGAGCCACCUGCGUGAGCUAGCGCCAGGUAAGGCUGAGGGCUUGUCUAGGAGAGAAACUGUCUCAGCUUCUCAAAAUUUUACUUUUCCCAUCCCAGAGAAAGGAGCCUGGCAGUGGGACUGCAGCCUUCACCGUGAGGGCCACCAUGGGCCACAAACCCUUGCCCUCUAUUUGGGGAAGCAGUUGCUGGCCCCAGUGGUAAGGGUUGUGACCCAGAAGGUACAAAGUGCCAUAGGAAGGAAUUAUGACCAGCCUGGGACACUCAACCAGGGAAAGCUUCAUGGAGGAGUGGCCCUGGAGCUGACCUUGAAAGCAAAGGGAGGUCAGAAAAGGCAAAGGCCUGGGGGUAGGAGUCCCGGCUGUCCCAAAGUAGCACCACUGAGAAGAGCCUUGGAAGCCAGGCUAAGGACAGGGUCCUGGGGGCAGGGCCAGCCCAAAGCUGCUCACGGCAGGUGACUGGGUUUGGCUGGAGGGAGAGAAGGGAAUCGGUCUGGGGAAACCAGGGAGGGGGCACCUCUGGGGUUGAGGUGGUCAGUGAAAACAAAUAGGGCCAAUCUCUGUCACCUGUGUCCUAGGGCAGGCCCACAUGUGCCCUGGCAUGCAGCUGACUUUAUUGAGCACCUGUGUGCUGGGCUAGGCAUGCUCUCAUUUGGGCCUCACAACCCCUUUUGCAGGAGGUGUUGUUAUAGCCAUUUUACAGGUGGAAAAACAGGUGCUCAGGAAUCAAGCAACUUGCCUAAGGUUGCCCUCGAAUGAAAUGCCUUCCGUGAUGCCUGGCACCAGGGCUCCCAGAUCCGGGGGGCACAGGAAGAGCUGGCUAGCAAGCAGGUGCAUUCUGCGACAAAGCAGAAGGAAUGGCCCUGCGGUUCCAUCCCCAGCAUUGUCCCAGGCCCUCCUGGCAAGGGUUCUUCAGCGAACUGGGGGUUUUGGAGCCAUUGGACUACAUGGCCUUUGGACCCCAAAGCUGAGAAAGGGGAAACCCACAACCCACCCUUCUCUUCACCCCUUCUGCUGUUGGCCUUGAUUUUCGUCACUGCUGGAUGACGGGACCAAGAGGUUCCUGGGUACAGCCAGGCGCUGAGUCCCAAUUGUCCCACACGUAGAGGUGCUAAGUUGAUUGGGGUAAUGUUAGCUCCAGAUUAACUCAACUCAACUGGUAACUACUGAUAGAUCCCCCAGCCCUGGGACACCCUGAGGACACAGCCACUCACUGGUAGCUCUGCCCAGCACACGUUAAGUGCUCAGUAAAGAUUCCUGUCGUAUCAGCGAGAACUUUCCCACGCCCACCAGGCAGCAUGGGCAGGGCCUUCCAUCCUGCUCCCUGGUACACAGUAGGUGCUCAGUAACUGUUUGGUGAAUGAAUGAACAAGUGAAUGCCUAGAACACUGUCCCUCGAGGGGACAGGCUCUAACAACGUGUACACUUGAAAUGGGGGAAUUGUAUGUGUGUAUCCCAAUAAAGCUAUUUGAAAAAAAUAUCAAAUUAGCUAUUAUUAAAAUGUGAAUAGGAAGUUAUGGAUAAUGAGACUAUAUUACAUCUUUCUAGUCAUUUCUACUCAUAACAAAGUAAUCAGCACGAGGACCUGGUGGCCAGUUAGAUGCAGGAGAGAAGUAAAGGGAUUUCAUUCACUAGGCCAAAUAUAUAAUAUAUAUGAACUCAUCUCUUCAUUCUAUAGUGUUUAUUGAGCACUUAAACUUAAGUAUCACAAAAAAGGUAGAAAACAGUGAUAUGACGGUGUAUAUCUAUGAUGUAAUAUUUUAAAACUGAAAAUAAGAGAACUGUAAAAAAAAUUGUACCAUAUUUAUAUUUGAUGCUUAAUUUCUUUAAAUUGAGUUUCUAUAAAAUGAUAUAUUCUGAACUUCAUCCUUUUAAAUUGAAUAAUCAGAGAAGUGAUAUGAAUUAUAGCCAAACUUUUCAUAAAAGAAAAAAAAUAGUACCAACUCAUUCUAAAGAAAUAUUGAAUAGAAUCAUCUGCCUCCCAAAGGGCCUACAAGUGGAUUGCAAAAUCAGUAACAAAGCUGUGACUCAAAAUAUCGUAGCAAAGCAGCCUCUUUAAGGGUCACUGGUUCCUGGGGGUAGAAUCCACUCACUAGCAAGCAGCAGAGGAAGCUAUGGGCAAGCUGUGGGAGCUCCCAGGAGGGAAGGAAAAGGUAAGUCCGGGCCCCAGGAGUGCCGGGUAAACUCAUGCCAAGCUGAGAACUGAAGGCGGUCUCCCAACUCCCAGACCAGGGCUCCUGCCACUCCACCCUCACCAAGGCUGCCUCCAGAGGACACCUUCCGGAAGCCUCUAGUGAGCCCAUGGCAGGGGGCGGGUAGGAGGGCAUGCCUGGCUGCUGCAGAAACUGGGGAGCCAGCACCUGGACCCAGGGGGCUGGUUAGCCCUCCAGAGCUCCCGGGUGCCAUUUCCUUGUCCUUCCUUCCUAUCUUAAGAAUGCUCAAGGGGCCCUGCCAGACAGCUGGGCGCCUACCUCAGUGGGAGGAAGUAAAGGAGUGGCGGGGAGCUGGCCCCAAGCCAGACCAGAAGCACCUUUACCACUUGCUUCCAGCCGCCCCUCACCUAGGACACCAGGUAUCAGAGCCCACUGCCCAAUCUCACCAGCCGGAUUUAGCCUCAAAAAACGAGCAGUAUUGCCUUCUGUGGAAGACUACAGAAGGCAGAGUCAGAGAUGGCCUGGCAUAUGCCGCAAGUCACAAUUUGUUUCAAAUGUUUAGGUCACAUGAUUACACAGCUAAUAAAAGCAACCGACUCAGCACCCUCCGUGGGCCAGGCACUGUGCUGACACAAACCCACGAGGCUGUCACCCCCCGUCCCCAUGAGACGGGCUGUGGGUCUGCCCACCAGGGCCCCACAGCUGGUGAGUGACAGACUGGCAGCCCUCUUUCCAGCCUCCCUCGUCGUCUCUGCCUGGUACUCGGAAGCA